rnacentral:rRNA from 1 species
AUUGAACGCUGGCGGCAGGCCUAACACAUGCAAGUCGAGCGAGCGGCGGACGGGUGAGUAAUGUAUGGGGACUGCCCGAUAGCGGGGGAUAACUACUGGAAAAGGUAGCUAAUACCGCAUACUAUCGGAUAACCCAUAUGGGAUUAGCUAGUAGGUGAGGUAAUGGCGCAACUAGGAGACGAUCCCUAGCUGGUCUGAGAGGAUGAUCAGCAACACUGGGACUGAGAAAGGGCCCAGACUCCUACGGAGGCAGCAGUGGGAAAUAUUGCACAAUGGGCGCAAGCCUGAUGCAGCCAUGCCGCGUGUAUGAAGAAGGCCCUAGGGUUGUAAAGUACUUUCAGUCGGGAGGCGUUACCGACAGAGGAAGCACCGGCUAACUCCGUGCCAGCCGCCGCGGUAAUUC